CGUAGGGUGCGAGCGUUAAUCGGAAUUACUGGGCGUAAAGCGUGCGCAGGCGGUUUUGUAAGACAGGCGUGAAAUCCCCGGGCUCAACCUGGGAACUGCGCUUGUGACUGCAAGGCUAGAGUACGGCAGAGGGGGGUGGAAUUCCACGUGUAGCAGUGAAAUGCGUAGAGAUGUGGAGGAACACCAAUGGCGAAGGCAGCCCCCCUGGGUCGAUACUGACGCUCAUGCACGAAAGCGUGGGUAGCAAACAGGAUUAGAUACCCUGGUAGUCCACGCCCUAAACGAUGUCAACUAGGUGUUGGGUGGGUAAAACCAUUUAGUACCGGAGCUAACGCGUGAAGUUGACCGCCUGGGGAGUACGGCCGCAAGGUUG
rnacentral:rRNA from 1 species